ACCCAAACAUUGCUUCGGAGGACUGAGGGCGUAUAUAUAACUUUUUUUAUACGAAUAUUUUAAAGACCAUGAAUGUUUAAGAACAAGCUAUUGUCUGUGGCAUUCGUUUAUACGUGGCAAGUCUCAAGAAACAAAAUGACUAACGCUGAAUACUUCCUCACAACCAAAUCUGCCAAAAUAUAAUUCUGGAAAGGGACUCAUACAAACGUCGUACUUGGGUAUUACACAGUUACCAGUCCUGAUAAGGAACUUCGUUUUCCUGCGACUAUGGUUACCGAAGUGCUCGCUGCACGAGCAGACCCAAACUGGUCCUACACGGAGACGUCGGAGAAGGACUGGCUGCUGGGCUUGGCAAAAUCCGAGGAUGGCAAAUCAUUUGUGGCGGAGCUGCGCCGCAAGAAGGGUG